ensembl:lncRNA
UGAUGUUUGUCAUUUUUAUUUGCAAUACUGUAGGUCCAAGUUUCAAACUGCAUUAUUUUUACACUCAAGACACAGUCAUGCACAAUCCAUAUUUCAAUUUUCUAUUGCUUCAACCACAAUUUAAAGUAACAAUAUCAUAAACAAAAGUCCUUAAAAAGAGCAGAUGCUGAGGUCAGAAGGAUGGAACCAUACCAUCAGCAGGUUUACAAAAGAAAUAAUUUAUUUAAAAAAUCAAACAGAAAGACCAUAAAUACCUUUAAUUCAGUUACAGAAGAAUUUCACUACACAUGGGUUUACAGAUAACACAUUUUAACAAAAGUAAAGCACAGCCAAAUGAGAUACAACUCUGAUAAUGAAAACACAGAUCCUCCUUAACUUGUUUUGUCUGGAUAUUAUGAGUAUAAUCCCAGUACAUAUCACUAACUACCCUGUGAUCUGUCUCUUCCUUGCUGAUGUACUGAGAUUUAAAACUCAACCCACUAGUGGUUACAGAAUUCUGUGAAAGGUCUUAUUAUCACUAAUGAAUAUAGUAUAUGCGGGUCCAUAAAGCACACCACACACAAGCACACACACUGAACUUGAAUUUCACACUUAGGGCUGGUUGGCACUGCUGUAGGCAGGACAUUGGGACUGUCCACUAACUACAAGUUGAUCCUCUUUAUAGUAUCAUACUCAUCCAAUUGGCCAAUCCCUGUGGGAGCUGUCAUCAGAAAUGCUGUCUUUGGUUCCCAAGUGGAUUUGUCAACACUCCUUAAUGUUAAUAGCAUGUAAUCACUUUUUCCUUUUUCUCUCUGCAACCUGCAAAUGUUUAGGCCCACUCAGUAGUCCCAGCCAUGGCAUGGGUUCUGCCAUCUUGUGCCAUUUUGGAAAUAAACUCUAUAAAGCCCAACACUGCUUCAUAGGAAAGGAGAGGCCGAAGUAUAGUUCUAUUCUAGCAAGUGUGACAGUGUAUUUCUGUUCUAGUAGCGAAUACUGGCCACAGCUUAAUGAAAACCAGACUUUACAUACAGAGUGUAUGGAAAAGAAAAGCUGGAACACUCAACAGAAAAGGAACACUAAAUCAAAAACAAAACAACAGUGAAGGAAUUGGAAGGCUGCCACGAGUUUUAUCAACAUUCCCUAGUAUUUAUUCACUUCAUUUACUUGAGGUUUGAUAUUUUUUUUUGGCAUCAUCUUACAUAGUUCUAUUGUUUAACUGCAACAUAAGAGACCCAGGCUUAAGCAUAUGAUAUUUGCCAUCACUUUAGCAGGAUGAAUUAUCAAGGCAAUCUAUAGUACCACAGAAUGUUAGAGCUUUGGAAAGCCUUGGAGAGCUAGUCCAACACCUUUAUUUUAUAAAUGUGGAAACAGACACAACAUGGUUAAGUGACUUGCCCAAGGGCACACAGUAAGUUAGGAGCAGAGCCUACAUUAGAAUCCAAGUAUUCUUAUUUCUGGGCUUCCCUGGUGGCUCAGUUGGUAAAGAAUCUGCCCGCAAUGUGGGAGAUCUGGGUUCAAUCCCUGCAUUGGGAAGAUCCGCUGGAGAAGGAAAUGGCAACCCACUCCAGUAUUCUUGCCUGGGAAAUCCCACGGACAGAUGAGCCUGGUGGGCUACACCCAUGGGGUCGCAAGAGUCGGACAUGACUUGGUGACUACACCACCACCACCAUUCUUACUUCUAGGUUAGCACUACUUCCAUUACAUCUGAUUGAUUCUAAUUGCUGUUGAUUUCCUCAUAGGUCCUAAAUCAGAUGCACAUGGUACCUGCCUCACUACUGGUAUUAUGGGAUAGCAUUCAUCUGACGGCAGCUUCCAAAGGAGACUCUGAUGGCACUAAACAGCUUCUAUAAGUUUAUCUUACAAGUGUGACUGUAUCAUGUGGCAGUAAAUGCUCCUCAUUAUUAUUGUCUACUUGAACACAAAAGUGUGCACGUGGAAGUUAUAGUCUCAGUUCCCGCAUUUGCAGAUUCAGUUAGAUACUGCUUGAUAUUACACAGACAUCCUCAAUGCAUGAGGAAUCGGGUUUAUAUUCACUUGGUCACUAAAGGAGCAUGGGAUCAGAAAAGGAAUGGAAAAAAAGCCUACCAACAGAAAGAUCAUAUCAGAAACCAAUUUCUGAUGAAAAAGUCUUUCUUAGGAAAAACAGUUCCAUUAUUUCUAGGGUCCCCUUUAAUCCUUUCCCAAUUCACAUGCAAAUAUAUGUUCAGAAUUGUGUGUUAAGUUCACUCAAAAUCUCAGGUCUGGUAGACUGUCAGUUUACAAAUGCUGAAUUUCAGUCCUCUUGCUCAGAGACUAGGAGUAGGCCAUCACUGGCCAUGCCUUUGUUUAAACAAAUAUUAACUGCAAGUAGCUCAGAAAAGGACCAUGAGUAACAACUGGGGAUGUCAGGGUUAAGACUCUGAUAAGUAGAUUAUAUGUUGAGAAUGGCCCCAAGUGGGUUCUCUAGAUAAAAGGUCUGCUCUUGGUGAAACUAACACCUGAGGCCACUACCGUAUCAUAAAAGUCCUCACCUGCAAAGUCUUUGGUGAGUUACCAGGAAAUUCCUCUCUCUGGGUAGAUAGUCUCCCUGAUUUCUGUUUAAAAUGACAGUAGUUACUGCAUACAACCUAUAAUUAGGCAGAUCAGAAAGCACCUAGAGGUCACCAUCUCAGGCCAAAGCUCAAAGGAGUUGAGAUUGAAUGCCAAGAGGCCAGGGCUGUUCUAAAUGUUUGUCUCAAUAUUUUCACAGUCAGCUUUUAAGUGCAAGUCAUAACUUCUACUGAAAUCAACAGGACUUGCCUACUGUUUAUUAAAAGAAAAUCCUACCUGAAUGAUAGUAUAUCCUGUUGGAAAAGGAAAUGGUGGGAGCUGGGGAUUUUAACCUUCUGUUCUUCCAAAAUUCAACCUAAAAUCUGCUAAAAUGAUCCAGAAAGGCAGUACCUGAAACAGAUGUUGUCAGAGGGGCUUAUGCAAAGUGACCCCUCCAAUCUAAAGUAAGUAAAACAGAAAACUUAAGGCCAUACCAAAGCAGAGGGGGCAGCCAGCCAGUUUGAAAGCAGAAGGAUGUGUUUGAAGUUCUAAUAGUGACAUCUCCCUGGCUUUAACUUAUAGAUACUAGUCCCCGAAGAAAGCAUGUGCCAUACCGAGUGUGUGCCAACCGCAGCAUCCAGGCAAAUAUAAAGCCUAUGGAAUAAUUGUAAUUAGCAAAUAUCUGUGCCCUGCAUGCUCUGGGCUCUGGCCAGAAGGCAUCUGCUUCUGGCAUCUUUUCUAUGUUUCUAUAGUCCCCUUUCUGAUGUUUAUUUUUUAUAAAGCAAUAGUAUAACAAUAUCAAAGAAAAUCUUAACAAGAAAAAAAUGUGCAUAAUCCCACCACCCCAACACAACUGAUUUCAAUUGUCUGUGUUCCCAGUCUUUGUUCAUAUGCACACUUAUUUUUACAUAGUUGUCAUCCCUAUUUAUGUUAUUUAAAGGUGAUUUUAUAGAUUCUCUCUGAGAACUGGCAGCCUCAUUAGAAAUAAACAACCCAUUGAGCAAAGGAAUAGAAUUAUUUACACAAUCUUUGAGCUGAGAAAUAUCGUUUAUAGACAAACAUCUCAAACUAUCAAAACAGUUUUACAGACGACAGGAAGCAAUUUCGUAUUUCUUUUUCUUUUAGCAAUGGAAUGUGCUUCACAAGGGAGGGAAAGAUGUGGGGAUCAGGUGGUUAAAAUCAAACACUGGGGUGCAAUUCACAAGCUUGAAAGAAAUCUGAAUAACGCAAUUAAAGAAUAAAUACUUGAGUUAAAUCUUCUUACAUGACUUGGCCAUCCAGUAGCCAAAAUGGAACAUGGACACACAAAUAUUUACAAUGACACAUAGACGAGAUCAGCAAGAACGAAGUCAUUACCCAACACGGUGACUGAUUUGAGGGGAUGUGUCAUCCAAAAAUCUUCAUAGGAUGAUGACAACGUGCUGGAUCCUUGCUACAACAUUAACGUUCUUUUCUUUCUUAAAUAAAUAAUCUCUACUGUGCUUCUCACCCUUCCCUGACUUUCCCACUGCCCUAUCCCUAUCUCAGGACAUUUUGGAAUCAACAUUCGAUGAUGCGCCCUCCUUAUCUCAGGGCACGCAUAGACUCACCAAUGUCAAGAUGAGCUACAAAAAAAUAAUCCAGGAAAAGGGAAUAAACUAUUAACCAUCUGGAGUACAACUUGGUCAGGUAUACCAAGUGUAAAUCCCUCAGCAUCAUUUUGGCAGGAGAAACAGCUUCUCUCUAAUACUUAUUAGAAAUAUACAUAACUCUCCAACACAGGGAAUGGUCUUUAGAAGCUGUUCUCAUUUUAAAAUUUACAUAGAUAUAAAUCUGUAAGAGUAAAGCCUACUGGGAUAUAUUAUCAUAAAAUCUUGGUACAACAGGAUGUGGUGAAGUAGUACAAGACUCCUCGUUGUUAACAUGCUGAAUUGAAAGCAUAAAAGAGCAGCCAUUUCUCUGCCUCCAGUAAUCUGAAGGAUCACUGCUCCAGGUGUCCUUCCACCAAAAAAAUGCCUUCAUGACAUAUAAGGGAUGCUCACGGACAAUUAGGGCUUCCCAACCAGGUUUGGGGCUCUCUCCAGUGGCAGGGCAUAGGUACCAAUGUACUGAAUUCUAUUUGCAUCCCACCUAUUGUUUCAUUGAAUUCCCUGGUACGAUGAAUGAAAAAUUUAAAAAAUACUUAAUUUUAAAUGAAAUCAAAAUUAAGGCCUCACUCUCUCUCACACAUAAAACAGUGUGGCAUUAACAUUUUCAGGCCCAGCCACGUCUUUGUGAAGAAUAACAUAAUAUGGUUCAAAUUAAUAUUACUCUUUGAUCUUUUCACAUUUGCUGUUUUAUGCCCUUGUGCACAUUUUCUAGGGGCAGGGCUCAAGCCCCUCCCAAAUUUCAUAGUCAAAGGAAACAACAGGAAAUCCACCAGCGGUGUUAUCUCCUAAAUAUAAACAUGUGCACUAUAUGGUUGGUUAGCAAAAACUCUAAAGAAAG